rnacentral:lncRNA from 1 species
UUGAGAUCUAUAGGCAGCAUUUCCAGAGUUAUUCCCUAUAGGCAUGACAUAUAGUUGUUUAACACUGAUUUCAGAAACUUUGCAGGCAUGAUGAACAAUGAAAGAAAGCAUGUGACACUUGUUAUAAUAGGAGCUGGAUGAAAUUAUAUCCUAUAGAUAGGGCAUCUAUUUGUGAAAUUGAUUUUGAGACCUAUUAAACAUGAUUUCUAUCAUGGUAAGGCAAGUAUAGUAAAACUCUAUAGGCAUGAUUUCUAACAUGGUAAGGCAAACAUAGUAAAAUCCUAUAGGCAUGAUUUCUAACAUGGUAAGGCAAAUAUAGUAAAAUGUAAAGUCCUAUAAGCAUGGUUUCUAUCAACCUUACCCCACAAACAUGUAUAUAUCCACCCCUUUCACUAGUUACCCCUAUAUUCAUUUACAAAUUAUGACAGACCAGCAUUGAAAUGAAUUACAUAAGUAAAAAUGAAAAAUAAGAAGUUACACUAUAGAGAGCCUGAUUAGGACUUCCUCCCUGAGUUAUGUAAUAAACCACCUCAAGUGCCAAGAUUGUUCCAUAGCCUUUUUUCAUAUCUGGGUGCGUUAGAGUUCCCUAAAGAUCUCAAGGGAUCCUGUGCAGUGCUUGCACCUAGAUUGCAUAACCAAGACGGAGUAAGUGCAGUGAGGAAGGGUCAGCUUUUAUGUGUCUAAGUUCAGAGGGCACUCAAGGGUCCCAAGGCAAGGCUCACACAAAAGGGGCAGAACCUAGUGUUCUAAGAGUAUAUGUGAGAGUGCUUGACAUAGAUUUAAAAGAGGUUGAAUUAGAAAGCAGUUUUGAAACAGCAUAUUUGAAAUAAGUUUGCAAAACAACAGAAGAGUUGCUUAGGUAAAAAAUAUUUUUGAAAGGAUAAGGCGAUAGGAGCAAAAACAACUUGGAACAAGCCAGCACACACAGAACAAACUCAAAGAAUAGUAUCAUUCACAAGCAGGGAAGUAAGGGGGGUUGGGAACAUAGAGAGCCCAAAUUAGAAACACAUAAACAUGGAUGAGAGGAGAAGCAUAUAGACCAACAAGUACAAAGAACAAGUACAAAGAACAAGUAGCAAUUGAUUGGCCUCCAGAAUACAAAACUACUACUUCAAAGUGUUAACAAGGGAAUCAUGCUCGAAAUUAGAAUAGUAAUAAGACAUAAGGACAGGGUAUGUGAGUAGUCAUGUUGAGGACAGGGGUUUAUUACACAUAAUUAGUCAUGCCACUUAGUGUUAAUCAAGUACAUUAGAUGUCUAUGAUACUAACAUGGCAUACUAGUUGAGGGAAAUAAACAAGAACUCAAGUAGACAUGCUGAUUACACUUGAACAAAAGAGGGAAAAACUUAAACAUGUUGAAUAAAGCAGUAAACGAGAAAAGUAAUUAAACACAUAGGCCAUUAAAUUAGUGCAGAAGAAGACAUGGAGCACAUAGAGUUGAGUUUCAGAAUUGAACAAGGAAUAUACCAGUUAAGGAAGUAAAGUGCAGAAAAGUAAAGCAAGUAGAGUUCCAUAGUCUUGCCUUGGCUUUUAGCCGGCUAGACAAGCAGUUAGCACAAGUAGCAGAGAAAGAAGAGAGAGUUUGAGUGUGUGUGUGUGUGUGUAUUCUGAACUGUGUCCGUAUAAGAGUCAAAAUAAGAGAGUAUAUAUAGCACUUAGGGAGAUGAAAUAAAUAAGGUAAAAAUGACCUAGAUUUCAUAAAUAAAGUAGGUAAAUAUAAUCAGCAACUUAAUUGGGGCUAAUCCCCAUUAAUUUUGCACAAACAGAUCCGGGAAAGUCACGUUAAUACAAGGAGAAUCCAUUACCAGCCGUGAUUGGGGCUUAAAUAAGGUAACAAAUCAUAAAUUGACCAUAAAUUAAUCAAUCAGUUGGCAUAAGACAAAUAACACUAAUUACAAGCCACAAAUAAGGAAAGUAAGUAAAAACCCCAAAGAAUACUGACUUUAGCGAGAAAAAUUGGUUCAAAUCCAUAAUAGAAAAUUAAGCAAAAAAAUUACAAAGAAUACUGGUUUUAGCAGGAAAACUGGUUCAAAUCCUUAAUAGAAAUCAAUCAGUAUGUUGGGUUGACAGAAAUAAACAAAUAACGGAGAAAAAAUUGAAGAAAAUUAAUGCAACAAAUAGAAUUAUCUAGGUUUAAGUAUAUACACGAGAAUCAGUCAAGAUAGUAAAGAAACAAAGCACUGAAGAGUUAGAAAAACCCUUUUGAAAACACUUAGGGCGAACCCUAAUUUCAGAAGAAAGCGAAUAGAGUCGAAAUAGUUAACCAGAAUAGGAGAUCUUCAAGAGAAAGUGACAGAUAGUACUCGAACCCUUUCAGAUCUACAAAGAUCUGAACUGAUUCGAGUAGUUGUAAAACUAGGAUUUUUAAAAACAUCUGAUAUGAAAGAAACUUGAUUAAAAAUCGUAGAUUCGAACUAAAAACGGAAGGAAAUCAGUACUCACAAACAAGGAUGGCCCUAGACAGGCCUGUAAACAAACUUCGGACGAAGGAACAUGUCGAAUCUCCUUGAGAUUCUUUUAGGGAUCCAUGUAAUCAACAACCCGAGGGUAUAGAAGGCCGGUAGUGGUCGGAGAAUACUCAGAAUCUCCAUAGACGAGAGUUUCUCAUCGGUGAUGGCGAUUAGGGUUAGGCCUAGGAUUUGAGAGCAUUUGAGAGAAGAGAGAUUAGAUGUUGGCGUGUGAGAUGAGUGAAUGAGAGGGUCUGGGGGGUUAGGUCUAGGUUUAAUUAAGGAAAGGGGAAUGGGGACCGUUGAUCUGAAUGAUCAAUGCCAGGAUUGAAUGGGUUAGGUGGGUUCCAAGUGGACUUAGGGAUUGGGCCGGAUUCGGCCUGGAGUUUGGGUUGGGGCUGGUUAUAAUUUAAAUAAGCGUGGCUAGUUGUAAAAUACCCAAUUAAAAUUAGAUGAAUACUUAUUAAAAAUAGCUAAUUAGAUAAAAUAAAAUUAAAGCUAAAUAGGUGAAAUUAAGGUAAUUAACUAAUAUUAAAUAUAUAAAAUGACAGAUUAUUGAAUUAAAAUAGCAUAAAGUGUACAAUUAGGUUAUAAUUGCAAAACUGUUGUAAUUAUAGCCAAACAAUGCCAAAUUGGCUAAUUUGUGAAAUAACUAAAUCCUACUUGGAUUAAAAAUGAUAUAUUGAGCUAAGAAAUACUUUGAAAUUACUUGUAAUAUUAUUUAUGAAUAAUGAUUGGAUAUAAAGUACUGAAUAAAUUAGAAAAUAAAUUAAUAAUAAUAUGAAAAAUUAUGGAAAAAUACCAAUUAUUAUAAAAAGUGAUUUUGAAGACAUAUACUUAAAUUAAAAAAAUAGUUUAAAGAAAAGUUGGGUAACAACACCAAGUCACCGGUUUAAAAUCUCCAAACUUUUAUUUAUAGUCUGCGAACACAGAAAUUCGGGUAAGAAAUUCUGUUAGCCCGGGAGAAGGUGUUAGGCAUUCCCGGGUUCCGUGGUUUUAGCACGGUCGCUUUGAUCAUACUUGCCUUAUUAAAUUUUUUAGCUACUCAUUUUAGAACCUAUGUGCUUUCACCCCUUUUAAUUAAGAAAUUAUCCUAAAAAAAACGAGUCACGCGUACGUGUACCCAUUUGUUUGGCGCGUCAAAAAUGAUGUUACGCGAACGUGUCCAUAAUUAAUAACACUUUGUUAUUAUUAAGAAAGUUUAGUCGAAGUUCCUCGAACGCAUACCCCGAUUUUAUUUUUAAAAAUCGUAACCAUGUCAUGCGAACGUGUCCACAAUCAUGACAAUAAAUUCAAAAACGUGCCUAAAGCACUCUAACAAAUGUUCAUUUUUAUUUUUCUAAUAGCUAAUAAAAAUUUUCCACACACAAGUCAGCAACUAUAAUUUGAAAGCUACAAAUUCAUUAGUAAAUUAAUGCAUGUUCCCAGCCAUAUGAUGUAUAUAUAAGGAUACGCCUACUUAGCGUAAACAUAUAUUUAAAAACCUUAAGCGCAUUUAUUAGACAAGAGUCUUCAAAGUAUAUAUAAUUGCAAGAAGUUAACAAGAUUAUAAAUAAGUGUUUGCUUAUAAAAGAAACAAUAUAGUGUAUAGAAGAUCAAGAAAUAGUAUAAUCUAAUUAAAAAAACUUAAAAAUUACUAUAUUUUCACCUAAAGUUUCCAUCCCUUCUCUUCCAACAAUCAGCCAGUAGGUUUACUAGCUCUUUAACUAGGUGGCAUCCAAGUCAAAUUAAAUUAAACACAAGAUUCCAGAGUAUUCAUCAAGGCAAAAAAUUGAGUCCCAAUAAUCAAAUAUCAAUUAAGUUAAAUAUCACUAAUCGGAAGCAUGGUCUGAAUCAUACCAUCAAAAUCAAACUUGAAAUUUAAAGGAGUAUCAAGUGAGAAUUGGACCUUUAUUAAUUACGUCCUAACUUUAAAAUUUCUGCAACUCAACAAACGGACCUAACACCGGCGACAAUGAUCGGAAAUCAAUGACAACAAACUCAAACUUGACUCUCUUGGACAGCUUCGAACUAGAAAUAGGGAUCCAGUGAUUCGACUGUUUCGAUUCUCGUGAAUUUCUGCUCAUUUUCAGUGUGUCAUUCUAUACAAAGUAUGCAACUAUAUAUAUACACAAAAUUUUACUGCCUGUGAAAGAGUCAAUUUCAAUAUCCUAACAAACUCCUGGGUGUGGCCAAUUUUUUGGUGAAGAAAGGGUUAAGCUUCAUUAGAGUUUUGUUGAUUUUGUUGAAGAUGAAGCCAUUUUUGUUUUGGAGUAUUUUUUUUCUUUUUGAGAUUGGCCACGGCUGAAGCUCUAGAAUUAGGGGUUGUCGCUAGGUCUA